rnacentral:rRNA from 1 species
UACGGGGGAGCAAGCGUUGUUCGGAUUUACUGGGCGUAAAGGGCGCGUAGGCGGUCAGCACAAGUCAGUUGUGAAAUCUCCGGGCUUAACUCGGAAAGGUCAACUGAUACUGUGCGACUAGAGUGCAGAAGGGGCAACUGGAAUUCUCGGUGUAGCGGUGAAAUGCGCAGAUAUCAGGAGGAACACCAGUGGCGAAGGCGGUGCUCUGGGCCGGAACUGACGCUGAGGAGCGAAAGCGUGGGGAGCAAACAGG